rnacentral:rRNA from 1 species
UAGGCGUAAAUGAUGCGAGUUAAGUGUGGGGGCAUCUACGAGAUGGCCCUGUGCUGUAGGGUAGCCGUUAAACUCGCUGCCUGGGGAGUACGGUCGCAAGGCUGAAACUUAAAGGAAUUGGCGGGGGGAGCACCACAAGAGGUGGAGGCUGCGGUUCAAUUGGACUCAACGCCGGGAAACUCAUCGGGAGCGACAGCAGUAUGAUUGCCAGGUUGAUGACCUUGCUUGACAAGCUGAGAGGAGGUGCAUGGCGUAGUCGUGU